UGUCACUGGAGGCAAUCAGACAGUGUACAUGUCCUGGGGAGGCGGGGUCUCAGAUCCCGGGAGGAGCCAUCAUCCCAUUUUUCCUCCCAAGCACUGGAGCUUGGUUCCUGAGGGUUUGCAGGAGAGGCACACCCCCUCCUCCCAUUUUCUAUAGUGGAAUGAUGCUUCUGACCCACCUUGAAGGGCUGGACCAAGGCAUCCGGUCAAAGUGCCCCCUGGAGAAGGUGAGUGCGGAGCACGGGGGGCUGGGUAUAAGGUGAUGCUAGGGGUUCAUUCACUGACGCGUGGUGUGUGGCCCAGGCCUCGGUUUCCCCCUGGAAAGAGCAUUGCGACAAACGGUGCUCUGAGUCUCCGUUUGAGCCCCUCCACCGUGCA
rnacentral:lncRNA from 1 species